rnacentral:rRNA from 1 species
AUUGAACGCUGGCGGCAGGCCUAACACAUGCAAGUCGAACGAGUGGCGGACGGGUGAGUAAUGUCUGGGAAACUGCCCGAUGGAGGGGGAUAACUACUGGAAACGGUAGCUAAUACCGCAUACCAUCGGAUGUGCCCAGAUGGGAUUAGCUAGUAGGUGGGGUAACGGCUCACCUAGGCGACGAUCCCUAGCUGGUCUGAGAGGAUGAUCAGCCAAACUGGAACUGAGACACGGUCCAGACUCCGACGGGAGGCAGCAGUGGUGAAUAUUGCACAAUGGGAGAAAGCCUGAUGCAGCCAUGCCGCGUGUAUGAAGAAGGCCUGCGGGUUGUAAAGUACUUUCAGCGGGGAUGCGUUACUCGCAGAAGAAGCACCGGCGAACUACGUGCCAGCAGCCGCGGUAAGUC